rnacentral:rRNA from 1 species
ACGGAGAGGGCAAGCGUUGUUCGGAUUUAUUGGGCGUAAAGCGCGCGUAGGUGGCAUGGUAAGUCGGAUGUUAAAGACCCACGGCUCACCCGGGGGAAUGCGUCCGAUACUGCCGUGCUAGAGUGCGGGAGAGGAAAGUGGAAUUCCUGGUGUAGCGGUGAAAUGCGUAGAGAUCCGGAGGAACACCAGAGGCGAAGGCGACACCCUGGGCCGUACCUGACGCUAAGACGCGACAGCACGGGGAGCGAAUGG